CAGAUGGGUGUGACUCAGACGGCCGGACGAUCAGGUGACAUGUCCAGAAGUACGCGGUUCUGCCAUAUUCUUAUGUGGCAGCCCGCAUCCGGACGGGUUACUGAUGUGUCUGGACGGUUACCCUACAGAAUCAUGUCUGUCGGCAGUUCACAACGCAGAGUUCGCCAGAGGAUAGAGGAAGGCAUUGCUGCUUCCAAAGCCAGAAUAACAAACAUGCCAAUUAUUCUAGAGAGGAAUGUUGUUAGGGCUAAUGUUUUAGUAGCACCCCUUGAUGUUAUUAAUGACAUCAUUCAGACCUAUCACUAGGGCUACCUCUACAAUUAUGCUUGCAUUGUGCUCACCAGGCUGGUCAAAGAAUUCUAUGCGCAUCUGGAAGUUGUGCAGGAUGAAGAGAGUGGCAUUUUCCUUCAGUCCACUAUAGAAGGGCAUGUGCUUCAAAUUGAUCCACAAGUCAUCAGCACGAUUAUUGGUGUAAUAGUUCUUCAUAUUUUUGCCAGUCCAUUUAAUGAGAUUGUGGAGGCUCCCACUUUGGAGGAUCUUAGGGAGUUUUUUCAUGCUAUUCCACAGGGCGAGGAGCGAGCUACAAAUAUCAGAAUUGGUGCCUUUUCUCCCCUGCACCGCCUGCUCGCAAAGAUUGUCCAGCACAAUCUCUGGCCUACUGUUCGUAGGAGUGAUCUGAUUCAGAAGAGGGCUCAAUUUUUAUAUGCCAUUAUCACGAGGUUGCCAUUUUGCCUGUGCAAGCAUAUCUUCAAUAUUAUACUGGAGGCCCGAGAUAAGAAUACUACAGGACUUCCAUUCACAUGCUUGAUCACGUAGAUUAUCCUUUAGUUUGGGAUAGAUAUCUCUGGAGAGCCCAAGAUGAAAAUACAGGACCCCCUCGGCAAUCAGACCCUGAUGAAGUCAAAUGCCCAACUGAGGCAUGAAGGUCAAGAUGAAGCUCCUCAACCUCCUCCUAUUCAUGUUGAGAUGCCUACUGUAGCAUCAUCUUCACAGACUCCUCCUCCACCUCCACAGUUUGAUGCAGUUUUGACUCAAAUUCUAGCUUCUCUCGAGUCACUUCAGGGAGGUAUGAGUUUGAUGUAGUGGGUGGUUCACUCUAUUAACCUCCGCGUGGAACAGUGUCAGCUGGAUAUCCAGGAGUGGCUCCAGCACCAUCAUCUGUCUCGUGAUGACGAGGAUCAUCCAACCAUUGCUGAGGAGGAUUGAUUUUUUUUCUUUCUUUUUUAGCUUAUUUUAAGACAUUUUUUUUUUCUCUGUUUUGGAUUAUUGUAAUAUUUUUAUAACUCUAGAUUAAUUUACUCUGUUUACCCUUGUCUUGUUGAGAUAUGAAGGGGGAGUAAUUUUA